GAUGAACGCUGGCGGCGUGCCUAAUACAUGCAAGUCGAGCGAACGGACGAGAAGCUUGCUUCUCUGAUGUUAGCGGCGGACGGGUGAGUAACACGUGGAUAACCUACCUAUAAGACUGGGAUAACUUCGGGAAACCGGAGCUAAUACCGGAUAAUAUUUUGAACCGCAUGGUUCAAAAGUGAAAGACGGUCUUGCUGUCACUUAUAGAUGGAUCCGCGCUGCAUUAGCUAGUUGGUAAGGUAACGGCUUACCAAGGCAACGAUGCAUAGCCGACCUGAGAGGGUGAUCGGCCACACUGGAACUGAGACACGGUCCAGACUCCUACGGGAGGCAGCAGUAGGGAAUCUUCCGCAAUGGGCGAAAGCCUGACGGAGCAACGCCGCGUGAGUGAUGAAGGUCUUCGGAUCGUAAAACUCUGUUAUUAGGGAAGAACAUAUGUGUAAGUAACUGUGCACAUCUUGACGGUACCUAAUCAGAAAGCCACGGCUAACUACGUGCCAGCAGCCGCGGUAAUACGUAGGUGGCAAGCGUUAUCCGGAAUUAUUGGGCGUAAAGCGCGCGUAGGCGGUUUUUUAAGUCUGAUGUGAAAGCCCACGGCUCAACCGUGGAGGGUCAUUGGAAACUGGAAAACUUGAGUGCAGAAGAGGAAAGUGGAAUUCCAUGUGUAGCGGUGAAAUGCGCAGAGAUAUGGAGGAACACCAGUGGCGAAGGCGACUUUCUGGUCUGUAACUGACGCUGAUGUGCGAAAGCGUGGGGAUCAAACAGGAUUAGAUACCCUGGUAGUCCACGCCGUAAACGAUGAGUGCUAAGUGUUAGGGGGUUUCCGCCCCUUAGUGCUGCAGCUAACGCAUUAAGCACUCCGCCUGGGGAGUACGACCGCAAGGUUGAAACUCAAAGGAAUUGACGGGGACCCGCACAAGCGGUGGAGCAUGUGGUUUAAUUCGAAGCAACGCGAAGAACCUUACCAAAUCUUGACAUCCUUUGACAACUCUAGAGAUAGAGCCUUCCCCUUCGGGGGACAAAGUGACAGGUGGUGCAUGGUUGUCGUCAGCUCGUGUCGUGAGAUGUUGGGUUAAGUCCCGCAACGAGCGCAACCCUUAAGCUUAGUUGCCAUCAUUAAGUUGGGCACUCUAAGUUGACUGCCGGUGACAAACCGGAGGAAGGUGGGGAUGACGUCAAAUCAUCAUGCCCCUUAUGAUUUGGGCUACACACGUGUUACAAUGGACAAUACAAAGGGCAGCGAAACCGCGAGGUCAAGCAAAUCCCAUAAAGUUGUUCUCAGUUCGGAUUGUAGUCUGCAACUCGACUACAUGAAGCUGGAAUCGCUAGUAAUCGUAGAUCAGCAUGCUACGGUGAAUACGUUCCCGGGUCU
rnacentral:rRNA from 1 species